rnacentral:rRNA from 1 species
AGAGUUUGAUCAUGGCUCAGGAUGAACGCUAGCGGCAGGCCUAAUACAUGCAAGUCGAACGGCAGCACGGGAGCAAUCCUGGUGGCGAGUGGCGAACGGGUGAGUAAAGUAUCGGAACGUACCUUUCAGUGGGGGAUAACGUAGCGAAAGUUACGCUAAUACCGCAUAUUCUGUGAGCAGGAAAGCAGGGGAUCGCAAGACCCUGCGCUGAUUGAGCGGCCGAUAUCAGAUUAGCUAGUUGGUGGGGUAAAGGCCUACCAAGGCGACGAUCUGUAGCGGGUCUGAGAGGAUGAUCCGCCACACUGGAACUGAGACACGGUCCAGACUCCUACGGGAGGCAGCAGUGGGGAAUUUUGGACAAUGGGGGCAACCCUGAUCCAGCCAUGCCGCGUGAGUGAAGAAGGCCUUCGGGUUGUAAAGCUCUUUCGGCCGGGACGAAAUCGCACGGGCUAAUAUCCUGUGUGGAUGACGGUACCGGAAUAAGAAGCACCGGCUAACUACGUG